rnacentral:piRNA from 1 species
UCCAGAACCAUUUGUAUCUUCUUGUACA